GCCAGCGGAAAUAGCACGUUGAAUGUACCAGUUCUUCAUCGACCACUGAAGUUAAGCAACGUUGCAGAUGGUUGGUAUCUGGAUGGAUGUGCUGUUUUUUGACCUCACCCAGUA
rnacentral:rRNA from 1 species